AGGAAUUUUGCAUAUGGAGUGUGUCGAAUUGAAUUUGUCCAUUAUAGUUAUUCAAAGAAAUAAAGAUUAGACCUAGAAGAUUAUAGGGAGAGGUAUGGGAGAAUUGCAUAGCAGUGCAUGUGAGAGGGACAUAUCACUACCAGAAGAAAGACUUUAGCCGACGAAAAUAAAAAAACCAGGCCGACGAAUUAUUUCCCUUCGUCGGCUAAUUAAAAAUUUUCGUCGGCUAUGGUCAACUUUAGCCGACGAAAUUAAAAUUUCGUCGUCUGAAUAAUUUUUUUCGUCGGCUAUAGUCUGUGAACUUUAGCCGACGAAAUUUUUAAAAGUUUAGCCGACGAAAAAUAUAAUUUCGUCGGCUAAAGUGCCUUAAUUUUCGUCGGCUAAAGUGCCUUAUUUUUGCAGAUAUUGACAACAACUCAUCUGGGAAAAAAAANNNNNNNNNNNNNNNNNNNNUAUAUAUAUAUAUAUAUAUAUAUAUAUAUAUAUAUAUAUAUCCGCACAACCCUUAAAGUGCAGACGUCCCUCUGUUCUCCACCGUCCGGCGUACACAAUGGCGCUCCUCCACCCGAGCAGACACCAGAGGCAUCCCCGAUGACUUUUUCUUGCCGGCGAGUUCGCCGAAUACAAGUUUGCAGCCGAGAUCAAUCUUGUCUAAAGUUUUCGAAGGAGGUUGCUGCCCAGACCUUCAAAUCGAUCUCGCCGGCAAGAGAAAGUCAUCGGGGAUGCCUCUGGUGUCCGCUCGAGUGGAGGAGCGCAGUCGUCGGCACUGUCCGGUGGAGAACCGAGGGGCGUCUGCACUUUAACCUUGAUGUAUUUCUGACCCUAUUUAGCUAUAAUUCCUUUAACAAUAUUGAGUUUAACUUAGUUUGUGUUUUUAGGUUGCGAAUAAAGCCGAGGAGCACAAAAGAAACAUACGAGGAGAAAUCUUGAAGGAAGAGGAAUCCAUAUGGCGCAAGAAAAGAAAUCAGAAAAUCUGCCAGGAAUAGUCAGUCAACUUCGACAAAGUAUUGUGAUCAGCUCACAAUGAUCCAAGAGACGAGCCUUAUAUCAAUGGAAAGCUAGAAGAGUCUAGUUUCCAUAAAUUUUUCCGGAUUGUCAAUAGCUAUUUUGGAGAAGAAGUUAUGACCGUUUGAGUGACCGAAGGUCAGUCUGCCCGAAUUUCUGAUUUGGACCGAAACUUCAAUUUCAAGGCCUAAACCACAACGGCGAGCCCACAGACGAAAAUUGAGGGUUCUCUAACCCUAAUAGAAGCUUUUUAUAUGUUCCCUAUAUAUAGGAGGAGUUGGAGCCGUAAAAAGUGUCGCUCUUUGCCGCAGAAAAACAAUGUCUUUCUUCUCCUUCAGAAAUUCCUCUCCAAACACAAAUCCUAGUUUUAGGACUUCUCUUGCCGUGCCUUCUCAUUUGUAAUCCUCGGCGUAGUUCCUUGUUUUAAUACUCAAAGUGUAAUCUAAACUCAGACCUCAUGUUUUCUUUUACUAUCUAUUCAAUUACUUUAGUUUGUUUCCAUCUCUCUUAUUCGUUUGUGUUCAUGAGUUGGAUUUUUGAGUGAGUUUGUUCUUAUAAUCAUGAUAAUCGGAUAUGUAUGGUUGAGUUGUUGGUGUAAUUGAUGAUGCUUUUGAUGAUCUAAAUUGUGCUUAUGUGUGAUUGACAACUUAUGACUUGUUCUUAAUCAAUAUGUGUCAUUGUUUGUGUUAAGUCCGGGCCGGUAAACAUGACCUAGAAUGGUAAAGAGUCAUAGGUUGCAUGCUAGGAUGUUUUUGAAGUCCGCGUCGGUAAAUUACUUGAAACAUGGAAUUUGAUUUGUUUCUCCAUAUGCAUGAUUUAGGUUGUUAGGUUGAAAUUGCAUAGCUACUUGAUUAUAUGAAUCUGAUUUAGUGUUUUCUUAUGUGCAAAGAGACGAUCACAUGUAUAUAAUAGCUUAGGUUUUUGUUUCUUUUCAGUUUAUGAUUUUCGUCACUCUUCUGUUCCCUGUUUUCUUUUAUUUUAUUUUUGUAUCAAACAAUCUCCUAUUCCCCUGAAAAUUUGUACAGUUGUUCCUCUGUGUGUCUAAUAUAUCUCUGUAAAUUUUCGUAUUUUUCUGGGUUAGGUUUUUAAUUAGGUUUUCGACUGCUGUUCAUUAGAAACAGUAGCUAUUUUUGUAAAUUGUUUAAAGAUUUUAUUACUUGUUAAUAUUAGUUAUGUUUUACUAACGCUUUGUUUUGCAAGGUACCUUCAAUCCCCGGCCCUAUACGAUACCCUUAUUUACCUUAUGUUACUGACGAUAAAAAGGGUUUAUUUGAUGCAGGUUUUGCACCCGUCAAACCUCUGUGCGGACCUCCGCCUCUGAACGCCUCUGAUAUAUAUAUAUAUAUAUAUAUAUAUAUUCAGAACUUUUUGUGUAAAUAACGAUUAUGAAAACCCAAAUGAUCAUCAAAUUCAAUGAAAUUGGCAGGAGUGAUCUAUGCAUUAGGUUCUACAAACUGAACGGUGGGGAUGUGAAAAUAUGACCGAAAAGUAAGUCAAAUAAGGAACUUCACACUUUAAUUUCAAAGUAAAACUUCGCUCUGGAUAGGAGCUGUAUACAUAUAUAUAUAUAUAUAUACAGGAAUUCUCAGGUGCGGACGUCCGCACCAAAGUUUUGGUGCGGAUUUCCAUUUUUGCACCACUUUUCGAUCGAAUUUUCUCAUCUCCACCGUCUAGUAUCUAGAUAAUAUUGUGUAGAUCAUCUCUGCAAAAUUUCAGUUAAUUUGGUAAUCGUUAAGGCCCUCAAACUCGAAAAACAAAUCUGACGAACUGAAUUUUGUCCGGUUGUGUUCAUACCGGAAAAACUCGAGUCUGAGGGUCUUAACGAUCACCAAAUUGGCUGAAAUUUUGCAUAGAUGAUCUACACAAUAUUAUCUAGAUACUAGACGAUGGAGAUGAGGAAAUUCGAUCGGAAAAUGGUGCAAAAAAUGGAAAUCAGCACCGAAACCUUCGGUGUGGACGUCCGCAGCCAAGAAGGGCUGUAUAUAUAUAGGGAGCCUUUCCAAAGAAGACGUCCGCACAGCCCUUAAAGUGCGGACGUCUCUCCGUUCUCCACCGUCCGGCGCCGACAACGGCGCUCCUCCACCCGAGUAGACACCAGCGGUGUCCCCGAUCACUUUCUCGAUCUCCCCGGUGAGUCCACCGAAUUCCAGUUUUCUAGCGAGUCCACCCAAAACUUAAGACAAGAUCGAUCUCGCCGGAAAACUGGAAUUCGGCGGACUCGUCGGGGGGGGGGGGGAGAGAAAGUGAUUAGGGACGCCGCUGGUAUCUGCUCGGGUGGAGGCAUGUUGUUGUCGGCGCCAGACGGUGGAGAACAGAGGGACGUCCGCACUUUAAGGGCGUGCGGACGUCCGCCUCUGAUCCGGACUGUUAUAUAUAUAUAUAUAUAUCAAUGUUCUAAAAGGCGCUAGGCGUUAGGCGCUAGGCGGGCGGUAACCCACAGCCUAGAGCCUGGACAGCCUAGGUGAGGAUUAGGCGGGGACUAGGCGAUUUGCAUUUUUUAAGAUUUAUUAAUUAAAAAUAUAUAUUUUAUGCAAUUUAAUAUUUGAAAACGGUCAAAUAUAGAUAAAUUAUUCAACAUAAUCUAGUCAUACUCAUUUAUAAAAUAAAUUAUAACUAAAAUUUAGCAUAACUUCCUGUAAAAGUUAGCAACAACAGCAAUAAACAUAUACACUUAUAAUUUUAAACACACAAUUAACUCUUAUACUCUCAUACUCCCCACAAUAUAACAAUCCCACCACAAAAAGAAAACAAAAAUAGCCGUAGAGCUUAGCAGCCUAGGCGGGCAAGGCGGCAUCUAGGCGGGCUAGGCGGCAUUUAGGCGAGCUAGGCGGCCGCCUAAUCGCCCACAGUCUGGCACAAAGGCCUGGAAGAAAAGCGAGGCAGCUUGUUGCAGCCUAGAGCCUAGGUGGGGACUAGACGGUCCUAGGCGGGGCCUUUUAGAAGCUUGAUAUAUAUAUAUAGGGACAUCCGCAUGCCUCUGAUCAGGACUAUAUAUAUAUAUAUACAGAUUUUCUCAGGUGCGGAUGUCCGCAUUUAUGCUUACGGUGCGGAUUUCCACUUUACACUCACUUUUCUAGGGCUGGCAUUGGUACGGUACCGGCGUUUUUUUGCCAAAACCAACUACCGUACCAACUUGUUAUGGUGCAUGAAAUCAUCUACCAAUGCUGACCGGCAAAGUUGGUAUACCGAACUCUCGGUUUGGUAUGGUACGGUUGGGCCGGCUACCGACUUCAAAAUGGGCCACUUUUUAUAAAAAAAAUAAGACAUGGCCCAUUGGCCCAAAUCAUAUUUUCCUGCUUUGAAUUGAACUUGAACUGAUGCAGAUCAUGCAGCAUUAGCAGCAAUAUCAAGUUAUCAACUACCAAACAUUCAAACUAUCAAAUUAAUGAUCAACCAAAACUUACAAAUACCAUUAAGGCAUUAACCAACUGCUCAAGACCUCAAGUGCUCACUGCUCAACCACAAAAGCACAAACAUGAGACUAUGAGAGUGAGACAAUGAGAUUAUGAGACUGAGACCAUGAACUGAUGAAAGUAUGAGAACACAAAGUCACAAACACAGAAAACUGAGAAAAGCACAAAACCAAGUUAACCAAGUAACCAACUGCUCUACAGCCUCUAGGCCCUCUCUACUGCUCAAGUGAACUUUAUUACUAACCUUAGUAACCUAUAAGGCUAUAACUCAAUAAGUCACACAGCCACUAACAUAAACACAGAAAGUCAGAAACUGUCAAACUAUAAACUCAACCUGCUCUAAAGUCUAAACUCUAAAACUUAGUUGAAAAACAAACUUUGAAAACCUGCACAGUAACUUUAAAAACAAACUUUCCAAGUUUCCAAUUUCCAAGCCAACAUUGACAAUAACAAUUAACAAGUGAACAAACAAGUGAACAAACAACAAAACAAACAAGUGAACAAACUUUCCAAUUUCCAAGCCAACUGCCAAAGUGCCAAUAACAAUUAACAAGUGAACAAACAUUGAAACCAAAAAAACCUGUACAAGUGUAAAACUGCAGCAUAGUAACACAGUUCAAAAAGAAACUAAUUCCAAGUCAAGUAGUCAACUGCCAACACCCAACAACAAACACACAU
rnacentral:lncRNA from 1 species